rnacentral:rRNA from 1 species
UACGGGGGGAGCAAGCGUUGUUCGGAUUUACUGGGCGUAAAGGGCGCGUAGGCGGUCAGCACAAGUCAGUUGUGAAAUCUCCGGGCUUAACUCGGAAAGGUCAACUGAUACUGUGCGACUAGAGUGCAGAAGGGGCAACUGGAAUUCUCGGUGUAGCGGUGAAAUGCGUAGAUAUCGAGAGGAACAUCGGUGGCGAAGGCGGCCUUCUGGACGAUGACUGACGCUGAGACGCGAAAGCGUGGGGAGCAAACAGG